AUGCUCAUUGUGGCAGCACAAUAUACAGAAGAUUACCAUAUCUCCUAUGCAAAAAUACACAAAUUUAUGAAGUGUUCCAUAUCAUA
rnacentral:snRNA from 1 species